CUCCGUAAAGAUGAUCUCUGAUGAACAGACAUGAUCAUGCCUGGAGAACAGGGAUGGACAGUCCCGCUUCUGAAAGACCCUGUCUGGCUGAUGAUUCAUGGUGCGCCGGGCAGACCCCAGGCCAAGAGACCCCACCCACAGUACCUGAGUGCUCAGCUGGGAACCAGACCAGACCUCAAAACAGGUUUGCAGAAUUAAGAUGAGGAGCUGAGCUCAACACAGCCUCCGCAGCUCCCCAGGGCGGGCCUGAGCCGAGGGAGAGCCCAUGGCCAUCAGGGUGCUGGAAUGCAUGUCACACUGCAUUACGUGCAUUACGAUCCACGCUGCAAUGACAGCCCAGAGCGUGGAGAACCCAGAGAGGGUGGGGAGAUGGAAUCCCGGCGAGCCAGCGCUGGCAGGGACCACGGGGAGCAGCUGGUCCAGCCGCCGGUUUUCCAAGAGAGAAGACUAAGAAGUGAGUCACUUGCCCACAGCCACAGAGAGAAGGAGGGCAACGAGGCCGGCAGGUCAGCAGCGAGCAGUUAGUUCAAGGCCUUGAGGGCUUCCACUAACUUUGAAGGGCGAGGAUGGGCGGAGCUCUGGAGGCCGCCGGGGUUCCCAAGGUUACCACCCAACCCUGCCAACUUUCGCACCCCGCAAGGAGCAAGACCCCGCCCGCUCACCACCUGCCUGUGCAGCCAACGGGCCUCGCUGAGCUGCCCUGGGCCGCUCCCUCCAUUCACACAGUUGGCCCUCCCUCUCCCUGCCUCCCUUCGCCUACCCCACGAACUACUUCAUCCCUCUGGGCCGGCACUGUAGAAGCCCCAUUGUUCACAUCGACCUCCCAAUUAUCUCCUCUUUCCCUCUCCCUCUGCUCCUGCCCAGACCAGCCCCCCAGCAUUGACCUGGAUGCCUGCCACAGCCUCCUCCCUGGUCUCCGGCCUCCCACCUCUGCUCCUCGGUCUCCUCUACCCAGCCAGUAACUGCAGAGAGCACUAAAGCACAGUCCUGGCAUCUCACCCCCUUAACCCUGGCCACGGCUUCCCAGUGCCUCCAAGAUAAAGCACCAACACCUGAGGACAGCAGCUUGUUUUGAGAGUCCCCUCCAUUGAAACACGCACAUCUAAUUUGUCCUUCAGUUCGCUGGACUCCACGCUGAACGUGCCAUGCUCCAUUGCCCCGUGAGUAACUCCAUGCUCUUGCCGGUUUCACACGGCCUCUCAGAGCUGGAGCCUUUGUUCAGGAGCCCUGGGCAGCUUUCAGGAAGCUCUUGGGCUCAUCAGCUUCCUCUGGCUGAAGCCGCCCCAGUGGAAUCAUGGGGAUUUCUUACUUUGAAGGUGGGGCCACCCGCAGACUGUAACCGGCUGGUUCAAGAUCAAGGACUUCCCCAGGCCACCUGCCUCAGAGGCAAGAAAGGCUCAGCUGAGUCCCAGACACUCCUCGCUGUGGCCCCUCCUUCCUCCCUGCUGGGCAGGCCCCCCUCAAUUCUGUUUGCCAGCAGGGCCUAGUAACACUGAAAGACGAAAAGGGAAAUAAAAUAAACACAAUUAAUAGGCUAAAGGUUACUGAAUAAAGUGGCAGCAGUAAAUAAAUUGACUACUGUGCAAAUACAAAGACAUGAAGACAUGAAACCCCUGCUCUAAAUGACCACUCACCAAGAGCAAGGCCUGGGCUGGAGGCAGGGAGCACCUCCCUAAGGAGCACUCCCUCUUUCCCGGAGUGAGUCCUCCUUCUAGAUGGAAUUCAGUCCGGGUUCCUCUUGAGCCACAGUCCCUGUUGGGGCCUAUCUCAGUGGACUCAAGAUCCUGAACUUCUUCCAGAUUGCUGACUACACAUUUGAGUCACCCAGAGAUUAAAAGAAAAAACAAAUAAUUUCCCAGUGAUCAGGAGUAAAUCAGCUGGGGCAGGGUUGGUGCUAUGAAUGACCACACUGAUUUGUACACUUCACUGAUUUGUAGUGUUUGCUAUUUCCGUCGUGUAAAUACUGCCAACAUGGACAAUCUUCAGUUGCUAAUGGUUUACUAACUGGCUUGUAAAUGAAUUCAUUCAGUAUUCAAGAAAAUGGCACUACAUUUAGAAA
ensembl:lncRNA LINC00885 long intergenic non-protein coding RNA 885